ACAGCUUAAGUUGUGCUGCUCCCAAAGUAAAUUGAAAUAAAAGCAAAAGUGAUGCGUCCGCCGUUGUCGUGAGGUGGAGAAAAAAGCGGAGAUGGAAAAUGGGAAAAUAAGAAAAAUAUCAACGCAUAAAUAAAGGCGUCGCGUUCGCGAUCGCGUCCGAUUCUGUCGCAUUCGCCGGCUGCAUUCCCAAAUAGAUCGGGGCGCUAUAGCCUAUAGCUGGUUGUAUGCCCGUGGGCACCGCAGUGCGAGUCUAUAUCCCCAACCUGGCCGGUGCGUGCCGGUGGAUUAUGUAAAGUGGCACACGGCCGAACCCAAUAUCUCCGUAUAUCGCCGAGCGCGAAAAAACACAAAGUAAAGGAAACGGAAUGAAAGUUUACCCAAGGAAUAAAUGAAAUGAAAAUAAAAUAGAGAAGGGAAGGGAAGAAGGGUAGAGUGUCGUGAAAGAUCGCUAGAAAUUUGUCGCACGCGCGCGAUUUCAGUAAGUGCAUCUAAUUUAUUUUGCAUCUAUUGCAAUUGAGAGGCGUUCGCCGAGUGCAUCCGCCAGAUACGUUUUCGUAAUUGUCGUCAGUGGUUCGAGUUGCUCCGUUUCGAUCGCGCGAGUGUCCGCCAGAUUGGAUUACCAGCCAGGCCCAAAAUAAAUUAUACAAUUUUUGAAGGGGGCACCAGUGUAUUGUGAACGUGAAUUUUAAUCGGCCCGAUCGAGGAUCGCUUGCCAAAAGCAACGUAAUGUCGUCCUACCGCAGUUAUACCCCUUGGAAAACGAGCUUGGGCAGUUCCUACAAGCCAGGCAGUUCAUCGUAUGGCACUUCGGGCGACUCCACAUCGCGAUACACUUCGCUGGCCACGCCCACCUCCUACAGACCCUCGUUUUCUGGAGGAACGUACCGCCUCAAAAGGGAUCCACCUCCACCAGCCACAAGUACUCCAGUUACAAGCUAUGUCAGUCGCUAUGCAAAGACGGAACCCAAAGAAACAGCAGCUCCAAGUGAGCGAAGCAGUCCGGUUAAGAGGUAUACGGGUACGACUACCAGCUCUUUGGGGAAAUACGUGCGAUCUCGAGACCCGAGUCCAGUGGCCUUGGAACACACGAACCGCAACAAAUCAAGGGAUCCGAGUCCCGUAAACGAUAGUGCCAGGAGUAAGCUGGGAGCCACAUAUCGUGGUGGUAAUACCUCAAGUUCAUCCUCUUCGGCCACAAGAAACGCUUACAGUAGUCGCUAUGGAUCGGGUUCUCGAAUCUCGGGAAAUGGAAGUGCCCUAUCCUACCUGACCACCAGCGAUUUCCAUGCCAGAACUGCCAGCAGGGCCAAGGCCAGUAGAGAAAGGGAACGAGAGAAGGAGAAAGAGCUGGAGAUCGAGGAGAAACCCACAGAGGUUUCCAAGGAUAAGACUCCUGAGAAGCAGCAGGAGGAGCAUCCCGCAGAGGACACAGAAACCAAUGAGACCUUCAUCACCAUUUCCGUAGUCACUAGAGCCACUUCACCCACUUUGCCGGGCAGCACCACUGUACAGCGUACCCGUCGCAUUGAUCCAGCCAAAACCAUCGAGAAGACCAUCCAAAGAUCCACCAAAAGACGUGAGACAACGGAUCAGGAGAUUCAGUCGGAUAGACUGGAUGAUUCCACCAGAUAUCUUCGUUACAGUGCAGGAAGCAGCAUAAGCUCGACAUAUAGUCCACAUAGGGAUAGGAUCAGCAGUCUGCGGUAUAGCGCCAGUCCUUUGAACAGUUCGGGAUCAGGGAAAUCGAGUUCAGUGGGCGAUGGAAAACAGAUUCAGCCAAUACCAGAAAAUGUAUCACCAGCAAGAACCAAUGGCUCUUUGAGCUCUGCCAAGUCUUCAGAAGCCUUAUCUCCGCCUAGAACCAAUGGAUCUGUGAGUUCGGCGAAAUCAUCUGAGGCUCUAUCGCCACCCAGAAGUAAUGGCUCUGUGCACCCAUCAAAGUCCCCAGAAGGUCUAUCUCCAUCAAGAAGUAAUGGCUCUGUGCACCCAUCAAAGUCUCCAGAAGGUCUAUCUCCAUCAAGAAGUAAUGGCUCUGUGAACAUAUCAAAAUCUCCAGAAGCUCUAUCUCCAUCCAGAAGUAAUGGGUCGUCUGGGAACACAUCAAAGUCUCCCGAAGCUGUUUCUCCACCUAGAACAAACGGCUCUUUGAGCUCUUCGAAGUCCACAAAGUCCAAGCUUUCCCCACCGAAGGCAAUACGACUGAACUCUCGACAAUCAUCAGUAGAGAAUUUGGUUAACAAACCACCUGCACCACCCAACAAAGCGGACUCACCCACCAAGACCUGCAGUUCCAGUUCGGGAAGUUCGGCGGUGAAAUGGCCCAACAAGGACUUCCGAAAGUCCUCUUUAAAUGUGGGACCCACUGACAGGCCCCGGAAGUCGCGAACUCCCAGUAGCGGCGGGGAAUCUGAGGAUCUACCCAAUGGAAGUAGUCUAGAGCGGUCACCAAGUGCUGGAUCCGAGGGUAGCUUAGCCUCUGGCAGUUCCUCCAAGAAAUCGACCAAACUAAGCAAUGGCAAGGUGCCAGGUGUUAGUUCGAAACCAAAAGCACACAAAUCCUGCAGCGAAUCAACCACUGGCAAUUCAUCCUCGGCCACCGCCUCCGCUUCGGAUAGCGAGCAGCGGGUCAAGACCGUGAAAAAGCAGGCCAAAAAGAAGGCCACCAAAGAGGGCGGUGCUGGCAAGGUCACCGCCGCCGCCGCCCACAAGCCAAACAGCACCACUGAAUCACCGCCCGCGGUGGCUGAAGUGGUGCCAGCCACACAGACAAGACUGAAGAAGCUAUCGGCGGUAUCGAAUUUUUUCGCCAGCCGUCAGCAAGACGCAAAUAACGAGCCGAUCUUCCUCGAAAGCUCCGAGAGCUCGGGCGAACCGGAGGCUCUUUCGCUGCCAGUGAUCUCGGGCAUCUCGGCGAUCUCGAAGAUUUCGAAAAUCUCUGGGAUCAGUCUGAAUACAGAUUUGCGAACGAAUGAACAGCGAACGACGCCAUCGAGCGAAGCGAAACCCUCACCCCAAACGAAUUCCCAGAGUUCGAGCACACGUUGUCCGCGAGAAAGCACCACGGGAACAGGGACUAGAUUGCCCACCAGCACCAUUAGCACCACCCAGGAGACGAGCCUCACGACCACCGCCAGCCUAACCACCUCCGAGCAGGAGGAUCCCAGUUGGUGGCAGGACACCAGCUUGCAGAUAAACACGGCCUCUGCUUUGGAUCAAAACAAUCGAGGAGAGAUGCCGCCAUACAGAUUGAGGCACAUUGAUUCGGGGGAGGAGCAGGCCUGGUGGCUGCGCCAGGAUGAGCAUGCCGACGAUGACGACACUCUGGCGGAGGAGACCCUCAAUCCGCUGAGUGACGAUGCCCAGGAGCAGAGCAAGGGGACCUGGUGGAGUCAGGAGGAGCAGGACUCCAGCAGCCAGGUGAAACUGAUGCCCAGGAGUAGGCUAUCGCCGGAAAAGGAUGCCUGGUGGCUGCAGGAAGAGGAGGAGGAUGAGGUGUCUCCCAAGGAGAAUGGCGAUCUGAACAACAACAGCGAGCCGCAUGUGGAGGUGACCCUGAGACUACCCUCGAAUGGCAGCCAACGGAGUUCCAAGGGAAGUGCUUCCAAGAGUGGAGGUAAUUCCAAGAGUGGAGGCUCCAAUCCUUGGUGGCUCUCCGGACCCGCCAGAAAGAUGUUCAAUGUGCAGCGCGUGGAGUCGGGCGAAAGAGCCUGGUGGCAGGAGGAGCCCGAAGAGGCACCUCAAGAGGAAAAGGAGAACGAACCACCGCCGGUGAAACCACCCACACCACCACCGCGAAUCAUCAAGCAUUGGGAGUCCGGGGAGCGGGCCUGGUGGCUACAGGAGGAUUCAGAGAGUGCCAAACUACCAGCUCAACCAAGUAGCGAUGAUGUGGAUGUGCAGCCAGUGGUGGAGGGUCAGCAGGACUCCAGGGAUGAAGUGGAUCUGAGGCUGGCACCACCCACAUUGGCAUCUGAAGAGCUGAGCAGCUCCUUUAACUUCAAUGCCUACUCAGAGCGACCACCUCCACUGGGUCAAUGCGCCAGUCCCGUGCGCUGCCCCUCGCCCUACGACAACAUUCCAAGGUCGCAAGUGCAGGAGGCGCCACCUCCUCCCACGCCCACCCUCACCCCCCUGCAGCCACGCUUUUCACCGCAAACACGGCGUGCCGGCGAAAAGCUCUUCAUAUCGCGACAUCAAAACAUCGAUGAGCUACUGGGCGGGGCAUGUCGCCCCCUAAGUCCACUCUUCUAUGGGAACACUAAUCCUGCGGAGGCCGAACUGACUCCUUUGGCCAGCAAGAACAUGUUCCUGCUCGAGGAGGUCACUCCCGACCAGGUGCGAAUCCACGAUAGCACCGCCCAACUGCCGGUCAUCCAACGAAUGCAACGCGAUGUCGAGUGGUUGGAGAAUGGCAGCAGCUUUUACGAGCCACCCAAACAACAACAGCAACAACAACAACAGCAGCCGCGCAGGAUCGAUGAUGCGGCCAUUCAGGUGUACAAGGAUGGCGACUACGGAGCCUAUCUGGACCUGGAGUCAUCGCUGGCCGAGCAGACCGAGGAAAUCGAGGGACUCAACGUCAGCCGGAAGAAUUCCCUGGUGGUGCGAACGCAGUUGAAUGUGCGCGUGCACGCUAUAAUUGAGAAACUGCUGUCCGCGGAGGGCAGUGACCUGCGGCGCGCUCUCUUCUCGCUGAAGCAGGUGUUCCAGGAGGAUAAGGAUCUGGUGCACGCCUUCGUGGCCCUCGGCGGCCUCAAUUGCCUGGUGCGCGUGGGCAAUUGUGCGGAUCAAAACUAUCAGAAUUACAUUCUGCGGGCCCUCGGUCAGGUCAUGCUCUAUGUGGACGGAAUGAACGGCGUGAUGAAGCAUGAGCCGACGAUGCAGUGGCUCUACUCGCUGAUUGCCUCCAAUUACCGAUCCGUGGUGAAGACCGCCCUCAAGUUGUUGCUGGUCUUCGUGGAGUACGCCGAGUCCAACUGCUAUGUGCUGGUCAGUGCUAUCCAUGCGGUGGAUGCCUCACAGGGAACUCUGCCCUGGUCGAAUAUAAUGAGACUGCUUAAGGACUAUGACAAUGCCGAUGCCGAGCUGGUCAUCUAUGCCACUUCGCUGAUCAACAAAACACUGGCGGGCCUGAACGAUCAGGACAGUUUCUAUGACGAAAGUGAUCUUCUGGAGCAGCAGGGCAUGGAAACCGUGAUCCAGCGAUAUAUGUCCAAGCCGGGCACUGAUUUGGAUCUGCUCGAUCAGCUGCAACUUUACGAGGCUGUGCUUAAAUUUGAGGAUGGUGAGUCGGAUGGACAGCGCUUACCGCAGAAUUCCAUGCGUAAAACGCAGCGUUAUCGGCCGGGGACAAACACUACCGAAAGACGCAAGUCGCGACGUCACAGCACUGACAACAGCCCCGCCCCCUUGACCAAGGUCCUGCCCACCACAGUCCUUCGGAUGACGCCCACCCAGGCCACCGUGGAUGAGGACAGUUCCGGGUCCACCAACUCCACGGAGUUCAGCGGGGGACUGUUCAAUGAAAAGAAACCUCGCGAUGGAGCAGGCGUGACUCCAGGACUUCGCAGAAGACGAGAACGGGCGGAGCGGCACAAGAGUUUCCUCAAGGAGCAACAGGAGGCGGCGGCCAAUGGGAUAUUUGCAGCUCUUGAACAGCGCGAGGGUCUGGGCCAAAUUGUAACCGCCAUACCCGCCACCAUCCAAGUCGGGGAAAGUCCGCCGGAGUCUUUGCAACAUGAGGUGUCGUCGCCGUGCAACAACAUCAGUGGUAUUGGCAGCCUGAGUAACAACAAUGUGAGCAACCUCAGUUGCAAUGACACGCCGAACAACAGCCUGUUGCUGAUGAGUCCCAGCAAGCAAUUGCUCACCGGCAGCCACAGCAUCUCGAUCAUCAACAACAGCUUCGACAAGGCGAGCAAUAACAACCAGAGCGAGUUCCUGACCAAAAAGAAUCUAUUUCGGGAGCGCAAUUCAACUGUGAUCAAUGGUAUUAUCAAGAAUAUCCAGCAAACCGAUAGUGCCUACAAGAAGUACGAGAACGAGGCGAAUCGGCUGAACAACUACUACAGUCAGUCGCCGAAGCAUCAGAUCCAUCAGCCCAUUCAGCCAGCGCCGGAAGUGCUUUUGAGUCCGAAGAAAACGCUGAAUGCCUCUGGGUUUGACUUCACGCCCGCUCCGCUGAGUUCCACCCCGGUUAAGUGUGAUGUCCUGCCGGAACCGGAGCCACUGAGUCCGGUUAGGAAACCCGUUGCCGCGCCACCACCACCGCCUCCUCCACCGCCACCGCCGCCGCCACCGCCUCCUGGGUGGUGGCACGCCCCCAUCUACAGCAGCCCGCCAGCUCGAACCCUAACCAGUACUAACCCAGAGCAGCUGCCGUGCCCCGCGGAUCCUUCAGAUAUGGAGAGCGAGGACAAGCAACUGCUGCUGCAGCUGAAGCGGGACCACACCGUCAAGGACCUCACCCAGAAGCUGAGCAACCUGCCCAUGAGUCCCACCCAGGACUCUGCGAAUCGCGCCCUCGUCGGCGACAUGUCCGGCCUCAUUUCGAAAGCCAAAGAGGGUCUGGCCAAGAGCAAGAGCAAGGGGGAGAUAUCCAGAUCAUCUAGUGUGGAUCAGGAACUGAAAAAGUCUGAGCCCAAGAAGUCGGAGAACGAACUGCACUGGGAGGAGUUGGUUAGGAAUAGGACAAGGCCCUUGAAUCUCUGUGAUUUGGACUUCACGGAUCUCAGGGAUGAUGAUGAGAAGGAUGUGCUGGCUCCUCGUAGUCUGGGGGCGGGUAUACCCCCACCACCUCCGCCACUGGGUGGAGCCAUUGCCCCACCACCCAUGAUGCCUCCCAGUCUGAUGCCUCCACCCAUGUAUGGAUAUGGCGGCAGUCUCACAAACAGUUUCAAUUCGCUAAAUGGAUCCAUAAAUGGGGAGCUCGUCAACGGGAAUAACACCAUCAAAAAGAACAAAAAGACGGUCAAGCUCUUCUGGAAGGAAGUCCGUGAGGACAUGAUACCGCAGGUGGUGGGUAAGACCAUUUGGGAUGAGUUGCCUGAUGCCAAUGUGGAUACCCAGAAGCUCGAACAUCUCUUUGAGUCCCGGGCCAAAGACUUGAUGACCAAGAAACAACAAGAGCUGAACAAGAGCAAAGAGAUCAUCGUGCUCGACCACAAGCGCUCCAAUGCCAUCAACAUAGCGAUCACCAAGCUGCCACCUCCGAGGGCCAUCAAAACGGCCAUCCUCAAGAUGGACGCCACCGUGGUCACGCGGGAGGGCAUCGACAAGCUGCUCAACAUGCUGCCCACCGACGAGGAGCGCGGCAAGAUCCAGGAGGCCCAGUUGUCCAAUCCCGAGCUGCCCCUGGGCAGUGCCGAGCAGUUCCUCCUGACCCUCGCCUCCAUCUCUGAGCUAGAAGCACGCCUGAAACUGUGGGCCUUCCGCCUGGACUUUGACAACAGCGAGAAAGAGAUUGCGGAACCCCUGAUGGACCUCAAGCAAGGCAUUGAGAUCCUGCGUCAGAAUCGCACCUUCCGCAGCAUCCUAUCCACACUGCUAUCCGUGGGCAUCUUCCUGAAUGGAGCUCCCGUGAAGGGAUUCCAGAUCGAGUAUCUGGCCAAGGUUCCCGAGGUGAAGGACACCGUGCACAAGCACUCGCUGCUGCACCACCUGUGCCACAUGGUAAUGGAGUCGAGCAGCGAUACCACUGAUCUCUACUCGGAGAUUGGACCGAUUACCCGAGCCUCCAAGGCGGACUUCACGGACUUGGCCCAUAAUCUGAACCAACUGGAGGCGGAGUGCAAGGCGUGCUGGGAUCGCCUGAAACUGAUUGCCAAACACGACUGCCCGCCGCCGUUGAAGCAGAAAUUGGUGGAUUUCCUGGCCGAUUGUGCGGAACGCAUCAUAAUCCUGCAAAUCGUCCAUCGGCGGGUGAUGAACCGCUACCGGAAGUUCCUGCUCUGGCUGGGCAUGCCGCAGCACAGUGUGGCGGAGUCGCGUCCGAACGAGUUCAGCCGCACCCUCUCCGAGUUCGCCCUGGAGUACCGCACCACCCGCGAGCGGGUGCAGCAGCAGCUGGAGAAGAAGGCCAACCACCGCGAGCGGAACAAGACGCGCGGCAAGCUGAUCAUCGACAUGGCCAAGUUCAAGACCAAAGAUGACGUGGCCGAUGACGAGUUGAAAAAACUGCUGGACACAUCUAGUGCAGAUCAGGCUGAUGGAACGCUCACCUGGCGAAGAAGGCGGACGGAGCAGCUCCGUUCACCGAUUACCCGCCAGAGUGAGGAGCAGUUCACCGACGGCGACGAUGAGAUACUGGAAUCUCUGGUCAAGACCGCCACCAAGGCACCAGGAACCCGGACAACUCCCAGGGAACGGAAGCGGACGCGACACGCGGAUCGCAAAUCAUUGAAGCGCAGCCGCACGCGCGAAGGAUUCACAGUUGAAAGAGCACCAUCGCCGUAGAAACCGUUACUGUUAACCGAAUCCGUAACCGUUACCAAAACAACAGCCAACUGUUUUUAGGUUUUACCUUUUUUGUGCGGCGCACGCUGAAGAAUGGUUUGACCGAAGAGGAAAAACAGCACGUGGCUGGUUUAAUACAAACCUAUUAGGAUUAGGAGACUAUUAUCGUAGAUACCCGCAUCACAUCCGAGAUAAUCCCAUCCCCAGUGACGUCACAAGUCGGGCACUACGCGCACAGACUGAAAUUGGCGAUCUCAGGCGAGCAAGCGAACCCAGAAAAUCCCUUUUAUACGACAACGUGCGCAUCAUCAGUACUUGUGUUUUUUUAUUUUGCCACAGCAACAAUAAGUACCAACAACAUCAACGAAAAUGUCCUUAAACAAAAGCGUUUUUCAUCGUGUUUUUCUGUUAUUUAAUUUUUUGUUUUUGCUUCAGCUAAGUAUUAUUAAUUAAACGUAAUUCAAUAAACCUGUAUUAGUAGUUGAAAACGAUUUUAAUGUUAGAAUUUCGAUCGCAAGAAAUUUCGAUAUCCCGAACCACGUCAUUAAAAUUUGUACCAAAAUACGACACGAUUUGUGCUUUCUAAAUUAACUUAAAUUUUAAAGUUAUGUCUAACUUAAUUACGUAAAAAUCAAUAAAUAAAAACAUAUUUAUUACAUACGAAAAA